CCUACGGGUGGCUGCAGUGGGGAAUAUUGGACAAUGGGGGGAACCCUGAUCCAGCCAUGCCGCGUGUGUGAAGAAGGCCCUCGGGUUGUAAAGCACUUUCAGUGAGGAAGAACGCCUGGUGGUUAAUACCCAUCAGGAAAGACAUCACUCACAGAAGAAGCACCGGCUAACUCCGUGCCAGCAGCCGCGGUAAUUCGGAGGGUGCGAGCGUUAAUCGGAAUUACUGGGCGUAAAGCGCGCGUAGGUGGCUUGAUAAGCCGGUUGUGAAAGCCCCGGGCUCAACCUGGGAACGGCAUCCGGAACUGUCAAGCUAGAGUGCAGGAGAGGAAGGUAGAAUUCCCGGUGUAGCGGUGAAAUGCGUAGAGAUCGGGAGGAAUACCAGUGGCGAAGGCGGCCUUCUGGACUGACACUGACACUGAGGUGCGAAAGCGUGGGUAGCAAACAGGAUUAGAUACCCCUGUAGUC
rnacentral:rRNA from 1 species